rnacentral:rRNA from 1 species
AGCGAACUAGUACCGUGAGGGAAAGGUGAAAUAGAGCUUGGAUAAAGCAGUGAAACAGAACCUGAAACUGGAUGCCCACAAACAAUCGGGAGGGGUGAUUAUCACCUAACGAUGUACCUUUUGUAUAAUGGGUCAACAAGUUAAUAUCCUGAGCACAGCUUAAUAGCGCAGUGAAAGCAAGUUUUAAAUGAACAAAAUCAAAUCAGUUCAUGGUAUUAAACCCGAAACCGAGUGAUCUAGCCAUGAGCAAAUUGAAUGCUAUUUAAAACUAGCAGGAGGAUUGAACCCGUGUGUGUUGCAAAACGCUGGGAUGACUUGUGGCUAGGGGUGAAAGGCCAAUCAAACUCGGAGAUAGCUGGUUCUCUGCGAAACCUAUUUAAGUAGGAUGUUAGAUUCAUUUCAAUAGGGGUAGAGCCCCAGAUGAAUGAUAGGGCCCCAUAAGCCCAUUGAUUUCAACUGAACUUCGAAUACUAUUGCGUUUUAUCUAGCGGUCGCACUAUGAGCGCUAACGUCCAUAGUGGAGAGGGAAACAACCCAGACUUCAAGAUAAGGCCCUUAAAUUCAAGCUAAGUGUGAAAGGUUGUGUGCGCCCUAUGACAAUUGGGAUGUAGGCUCAGAAGCAGCCAUCAUUUAAAGAUAGCGUAACAGCUCACUAAUCUGAGGGCGCCUAGCACCGAAAAUGUAUCGGGACUAAGCUUGAUGCCGAAGCUGAAGGCACUGCCGAUAUGGCACUGCGGUAGCAGAGCGUUCCAUAGGCCAUUGAAGGCUAAGCUAUGAGGCUAAGCUUGAGGCAUUGGAAGCGAUAAUGUUGACAUGAGUAAUUAAAAUGAAAGUGAAAACCUUUCACGCUGAAAGACUAAGGUCUCCUAUUUAAAGUAAUCUGAAUAGGGCUAGCCGGCUCCUAAGGCCAAGCGAAACCGCGUAACCGAUGGUAAUCACGUUAAUAUUCGUGAGCCUGACUAUAGAUGACUUAGUUUUAAUCAUUAUGUCAAUUCUAAAUGGAUUGAAUUUGGCAUCAUGCUAGCUAACAGGAAAAAGUCUAUGGUUUUAAUGGCCGUACCGUAAACCGAAACAGGUGGUCUGGUAGACCAUACUAAGGCGAAGAGCUAAUUAUGCUGAAGGAACUCGGCAAACUGCAUGCGUAACCUCGGGAUAAGCAUGGCCAUUGUCUAGGGCAACCUGAUAUUGGCAUAAUACAAAUGGAGGGAGCGACUGUUUAUCAAAAACACAGGACUCUGCUAAAUUGUAAGAUGAUGUAUAGAGUUUGACGCCUGCCCAGUGCUGACAAGUGAAACUAUUGAGCGCAUUACAACGUUCAAAUAUAAGCCUCAGUAAACGGCGGCCGUAACUAUAACGGUCCAAAGGUAGCGAAACCCCUUGUCGGGUAAGUUCCGACCUGCAUGAAUGGCGUAACGACUUCCUCGCUGUCUCCAGCAUAAGCUCAAUGAAAUUGAAUUCCCCGUGAAGAUGCGGGGUACCUACGGCAAGACGGAAAGACCCCGUGCACCUUCACUAUAGCCUUGCAUUGAUGC